GACGAACGCUGGCGGCGUGCUUAACACAUGCAAGUCGAACGAUGAUGCCCAGCUUGCUGGGUGGAUUAGUGGCGAACGGGUGAGUAACACGUGAGUAACCUGCCCCUGACUCUGGGAUAAGCGUUGGAAACGACGUCUAAUACUGGAUAUGACUGCCGGCCGCAUGGCCUGGUGGUGGAAAGAUUUUUUGGUUGGGGAUGGACUCGCGGCCUAUCAGCCUGUUGGUGAGGUAAUGGCUCACCAAGGCGACGACGGGUAGCCGGCCUGAGAGGGUGACCGGCCACACUGGGACUGAGACACGGCCCAGACUCCUACGGGAGGCAGCAGUGGGGAAUAUUGCACAAUGGGCGAAAGCCUGAUGCAGCAACGCCGCGUGAGGGAUGAUGGCCUUCGGGUUGUAAACCUCUUUUAGUAGGGAAGAAGCGAAAGUGACGGUACCUGCAGAAAAAGCACCGGCUAACUACGUGCCAGCAGCCGCAGUAA
rnacentral:rRNA from 1 species